rnacentral:rRNA from 1 species
UACGUAGGUGGCAAGCGUUGUCCGGAUUUAUUGGGUUUAAAGGGUGCGUAGGCGGUUCUAUAAGUCAGUGGUGAAAUACGGCAGCUUAACUGUCGAGGUGCCAUUGAUACUGUAGGCUUAGAGUACUGUUGAGGUAGGCGGAAUGGACGGUGUAGCGGUGAAAUGCUUAGAUAUCGUCCAGAACACCGAUAGCGAAGGCAGCUUACUAAAGAGUAACUGACGCUGAGGCACGAAAGUGAGGGGAUCAAACAGG